rnacentral:lncRNA from 1 species
GUAACAGCAAAAUUUCUUUUCACUUCAUAAUUAUCUGCUGUAUUCUCUACUACUAAUAAUCACCCACAAAAGCUGCUCAGUGAAUUUAAUUUAGGAUCCUAGCUUCACUGAGAUACAGUGACAAGUCUUGCCUAGUCAGCUAAUUAUUUAACAAGAGAGAAUGUGUAAUGUCAUGACAGAAUUGUACUUUAUGCCAUUCACAAUAUAUUCCAUUGUCCCUGCGUAAAGCUUUUCCCACAGAACAGGUGAAAGAAAUUCACUUCAUUGUCAUGGAUCAACCUGACAGCAUCCUAGACAGGUGACUGCUGAUCUCAUUGAAUGUGGAAGUUAACAAGAAGACAGCAAAGGCAAAUAACAGACUUGCUUCAGAUUAAAGCUCCAUUUGGCUUUGGCAUUUUGGCAGCUUUCAGAGCGUGAGACCAUUCAUCCUGGUUUGAUCCUCAUUUCAACUCCAUAUUUUUUCUUUCUUC